rnacentral:tRNA from 1 species
AUAAAAUAGUAUAAGAAAAUUACAUCUCAUUUACACUGAGAAAAUUAAAUUUAUUUAUUUUAUU